CCCCCCUCCCCAGGUAGAACUCCAGGGUCCUCUCCCAGCCCCCACAGGGCUCAUGCUCACAUGGCCUUCUUCAUGGGUGUCCCCAAGCACCCCAGGCCCUCAAGGCCCCCCUCCCCAGCCUCCAGUGAUGCCACUUCUUAGAGGCAGUAGGUGUUGGGUCUUCAGCAGGCCGUGCCUGUUAAUGACUAAGUGGACAUUGUGUUCAGGAAACAAAGCCAGACUCCCCUGCCCUGGCUCUUCCCCACACCCUCACACCCAGGAACACUCUCGCAGCUCCCUCUCCUAGUCCAUCUCCUGUCACCUCUCAAUAUAGCUCUAGAGUGAGGAGGUGGGGAGGAUGGGCUGGGGUCAGUUUUUCUGGGUAGGAGAACUUUCCACCAGAUAUGUGGUCUCUCCAACUCCCUAGGACCCUCCACUGCCCCAUUACUGGACUCAGGAAUCCACAUCUAUCUCCAGGGGACUUGGACUCCAUAUCCACUGCCUCCUGAAGCAGCUCCUCAUUCUGCUAGCAGUCCUGGAGGGCAAGGGCACCGGAUGGAGACCCCUGCCACAGGUGAGGGGAUGAGGAGGCAGGGCCAGCUUCCUUGGCACCAGGUCACCCCUCUUUUGCCUGGCUCCCCAUGUGUCUGUCUGUCUCCCUUUCCUUCUGCCUGGUUCCCUACCUCCAAGUCGGACCUGGCCUCCAAUUCUCCCUGGUGCUGUGUUUCUGCCCUUCUCAGGGUCUGACAGUCCUGCUCUUCCACAUGUCUCUGCUUUUCCUGAGCCCGACCUCUGCUCGCCCUCUGCCUGUCCCAGCUCUGCCUCCAGGCCCUGCUUCAGGGGCUUUGUCCAUCUCUCUCUAACCUAACUAUUCUCCUCUCUCCUGAUUUUGCUUGCAUCUGAAAUGACCUGGGAGUCUCUCCUCUGUCCAGUACCACCCUGUCAGCUCUUCCAGCUUCUCAAUCCAAGGCUCACCCUCCCUGUCUCCUCUCCCAUCCCCUUUCAUCACCCUGCUUCUGUGGCUGGACUGCUGGGCCUCUCACACCCCACUGUCUUUCUGCACAGUCACUGGCCGUUCUCUCUGCCUCUCUCUUCUCUGCUCUGGGCAUCCCCUGCAUCUCCUUUUUAAAGUGUGUCCCUCUCUUUCCUCCACUUAUCUCCUUAUUGCUCUCAAGUCCUUCCUAGGAAGAGGAGUGGUGCCAGGCAGGGCAAAUGGAGGAGCAUGUGAGGAGGGAGGUCGGACAGCUCUGAGUCUUUCCGACGCCUCCUCCCUUCCCCUGCCUUUUCUCUCUGUUGGUUACCCUGGUCACCCUCCUCCAGGUUCCGGAGCUCUCUCCCUUUCUCUCCACUUCUCCCCUCCUCAGGUCUGUCUUAUUUCUUCACUAUUCCCCCUCUCCCUUCUCCCUCUCUCUUGCUCUCUAAUUCUGGCAUCCCCUCCUUCCUGGGAUGGGCCCUCACUCUGGCUGCUGCACUGGGAGCGCCGAGCCUGGGGUGGCUAGGAGUGGCUGUGUGGGGAGGGUGGGAGAGAUUCAGGUCAGGGCUGAACCGGGGCUCCUGGGAAUUCCAGCUGGAGGCUGGCAGUCCCACCACCUCCCAAGCGCCUGCCUCUGUGGCCCACAGUCCCAAGCCUUCCCUAAGUAGCCAGAUGUGGCAGUGACUCCAGGGAGUGCUUGCUCCUUCUUCCACUUCUACCCUUCCUCUGGUGACACAUCCUGUCCUCUCCCCAGGGUCCUGCUCACAUGUGGCUCUUCUCAGUCCCUCAUCUGCCUGCCUUCCCUCCAGAUAGCCUGCUCUAAAGGAGCCAGAGAACCUCCAUCUUCCAGCAGGUCCAGAAGAGGAGGGUCUUGGGAAGAGAAGCUACCGUGGGAAGAAAGGAGAAGAGUGUAGUGCUAGAGAAGCUGGAAUGAAGAGGAGAGGAGGGUGGGCUAGGGUACAGUUCUCCCGGUGGUGCUGGGGGAGGAGGCGCUGCCCUCUGAGGUGGUUGGAGACCAUGGAGGACAUGUCUGCAGGGAUGGGCUAUAGCUGCAAGACCUCGUGCCCUUUCAGACUCUUGCCUUGGACCAGGGCUGGGAGCCAUUAUCCCCUGUCCAAGUUGAUCAUGCCUCAGAGGGCACCCCUACACGCCCAGCCUCCUCCUCACAGCCCUGGUGUUAUCAGCUGUGGGGGUAGUGUUGAUCAGAUCUGCAGUGUAGGUUCACAGCAGGUGGGCUUACAUUUUCUAGGAGAGCCUUAAGGGUUUCCCUAAAUCUCCUUUAAUCCCCAGUGUCUCUGGGCCAGGGAGAGGGCUGGGAGGAGAGCUUUCACCUGCUGAGGUGCAAGGAGCAUGUAGCAUUGCUGCAGUGGGAUGCUCUGAGCCUUAUGGGCUCACCAGGGAAGCCUCCUGGGUCUGGUCACCUCCUCUGGAGUCUCCCCCCCAUCCCCAUGUCUGUGUCCCUGUGUUCCUGUGGCUGGCAGGCCGUGAAGAAGAGUCUAGAGGCAGCAUCUCACUUCAGAGAAAAGUGCUUUAUUCUGCUUCCUCCAAAGGGGCUGCUCUCCAGGCUCCAGGACUGGGAGCUUUGUUGCGCCCUCAGGAUGGGGCAGAUCAAGAUGUGGCAAAUCUACUCCUCGUUCAAGCCCUUUUAAAAGGAAACAAAGUCCAAAUUAGCUCCCGAGAGGGUGCUGCCAUGGGGACAACCCACCUUGGUGCCGAUGUCACGGCUCUUGGCCCGAAGCUUGUUGACCUGGGACUCGGCGAUGUCCGCCCGCUCCUCCGCCUCAUCCAGCUCGUGCUGCACCUUGCGGAACUUGGACAGGUUGGUGUUGGCCUGUUCCUCCU